GACGUUUUUAAAAAAAGGCGGCGUAAAGCUGUCGCUAAAGGAUGGACCUGCGAUGCAUUAGCUAGUUGGUAAGGUAACGGCUUACCAAGGCGAUGAUGCAUAGCCGAGUUGAGAGACUGAUCGGCCACAUUGGGACUGAGACACGGCCCAAACUCCUACGGGAGGCAGCAGUAGGGAAUCUUCCACAAUGGACGCAAGUCUGAUGGAGCAACGCCGCGUGAGUGAAGAAGGUUUUCGGAUCGUAAAGCUCUGUUGUUGGUGAAGAAGGAUAGAGGUAGUAACUGGCCUUUAUUUGACGGUAAUCAACCAGAAAGUCACGGGCUAACUACGUGCCAGCAGCCGCGGUAAAU
rnacentral:rRNA from 1 species